UACGUAGGGUGCAAGCGUUAUCCGGAAUUAUUGGGCGUAAAGAGCUCGUAGGCGGUUUGUCGCGUCUGCUGUGAAAACUCGAGGCUCAACCUCGAGACGCCGGUGGAAACCAUCAGGCUAGAGUCCGGAAGAGGAGAGUGGAAUUCCUGGUGUAGCGGUGAAAUGCGCAGAUAUCAGGAAGAACACCCGUGGCUAAGGCGGCUCUCUAGUACGGUACUGACGCUGAGACGCGAAAGCGUGGGGAGCGAACAGG
rnacentral:rRNA from 1 species